UUAACCACUGAGCCAUCUCUUUAGCCACUUGUAAAGCGUUAAAAGAACUCUCCUAUUGAAAAAUAGUCGUAUCCCAGGAGUGAGCUUUAGGUCUCAACAUUUUUGUUCCAAGAGCCUGUGUAAAAAAACUCACAGCGGAUCCAUCCUUUUCUUUUACCGAAGAAGUGAACUUUGUUGGCUCCUGUGUCAGGCAUUUCUCACCUGGGCUAAAAGCUUUCUCGGCUCCUGAGAGGGAGCUUUCCAUCAGAGAAUGAAACCGAUACAAAGGAAGACAGAGCUGAACUUUGAGAACAAGAAUGCAUGGAUGGCACAAUUUUAGGUCUAGAAAGAGCGUCAAGUGACAACAUCAGAGGCCUGGAUUUCCCAUUCAGACAAACCAGUACAUUCCCUUCCCUCUUCAGCUACUUGAAAGUAGAUAUAUUUCAUUUGCAAUUGAGUCCUAAAUAAUGAUAACUUUAUCUUAUAGGAGUAAGGUUUUGUAAAUAACAUCUGUAAAUGUAGUGCCAGAUGAAGCACAGGGGCUAUGUAGAACAAAGAAUUCCUCUUCUUAGUGGUCGAGAAGUCAGAAAACACUUAAGUCUAAGAUGACUGAUAUUGCUACAGUGUCUUCAGGCUCAAGCCAUGUCCUUGAGCCUGAAGAGAAGGAAGACACUAAUGCUAGAGAAGACUGUUCAUUUCUUAUGGCCAUUGUUCAUUUCUUAUGGCCAU
ensembl:lincRNA Gm12514 predicted gene 12514